rnacentral:rRNA from 1 species
UUGGAGGGCAAGUCUGGUGCCAGCAGCCGCGGUAAUUCCAGCUCCAAUAGCGUAUAUUAAAGUUGUUGCAGUUAAAAAGCUCGUAGUUGAAUUUCGGGAUCAAUACGUCGGUCGUGCUUCGGUACGUACUGGCGUAAUUGAUUUCUCCCUUCUGACGAACCAUGAUGUCAUUAACUUGGUGUCAUGGGAAAUCAGGACUGUUACUUUGAAAAAGUUAGAGUGUUUAAAGCAGGCUCACGCUUGAAUACAUUAGCAUGGAAUAAUGAAAUAGGACGUUCGAUCCUAUUUUGUUGGUUUUAGGAUCAACGUAAUGAUUAAUAUUAGAGUGCUUAAAGCAGGCUAUCGCCUGAAUACAUUGGCAUGGAAUAAUGAAAUAGGACGGCAUGGUUCUAUUUUGUUGGUUUCUAGGAUCACCGUAAUGAUUAAUAGGGAUAGUUGGGGGCAUUAGUAUUCAAUUGUCAGAGGUGAAAUUCUUGGAUUUAUUGAAGACUAACUUCUGCGAAAGCAUUUGCCAAGGAUGUUUUCAUUAAUCGAGAACGAAAGUUAGGGGAUCGAAGACGAUCAGAUACCGUCGUAGUCUUAACCAUAAACUAUGCCGACUAGGGAUCGGACGAUGUUAAUUUUUUAAUGACUCGUUCGGCGCCUUACGGGAAAC